CUCAAUCAAAAUCUCAAAUCGGGUUUGGCUCAAAAUCUCAAAUUGAGUUUGGCCAGAUUUUCUACAAGGAACUAUGUAUGGUGAGUAUUGGAGAUUUAGAAGGAAAAGAUUUUGGCGAUACUUGGAGAAGAAAAAAUUUUUAUCACGAGGUUUUUGCUGCUGAGAUUCACAAAGCUUAUUUGCUACAAAGUCAAGGCACAUGUAUGUCUAGUGGCCUUGUGGGCGCAGUGGCAUGAUUGAUACAGGGA